GUGCUCACUUCGGCAGCACAGAUACCAAAAUUGGAACGACACAGAGACAAUGAGCAUGGCCCCUACUCAAGGAUGACAUGCAAAUUCAUGAAGCGUUCCAUAUUUUU